rnacentral:rRNA from 1 species
AUGGCGAAGCUGAUGCAGCGACACGCGUGCGGAUGAGCUCGGUGUAACGCUUUCAGGAGGACGAAAAUGACGGUACUCCAGAAGAAGCCCGGCCAACUACGUGCCAGCAGCCGCGGUAAUACGUAGGGGCCAAACGUUGUCCGGGAUUUAUUGGGCGUAAAGGGCUCGUAGGCGGUUCAACAAGUCGGUCGUGAAAACCCGGGGCUCAACCCCGGGACGCCGGUCGAAACUGUUGUGACUAGAGUUCGGUAGAGGUGAGUGGAAUUCUCGGUGUAGCGGUGGAAUGCGCAGAUAUCGAGAGGAACACCAGUAGCGAAGGCGGCUCACUGGGCCGAAACUGACGCUAAGGAGCGAAAGCAUGGGGAGCAAACAGGAUUAGAUACCCUGGUAGUCCAUGCCGUAAACGAUGAACACUAGGUGUGGCGGAUUCAUUGACAUCUGCCGUGCCGUAGCUAACGCAUUAAGUGUUCCGCCUGGGGAGUACGGCCGCAAGGCUAAAACUCAAAGGAAUUGACGGGGCCCCGCACAAGCGGCGGAGCAUGCGGCUUAAUUCGAUGCAACCCGAAGAACCUUACCUGGACUUGACAUCAUGGGUCUACCUGUAGAAAUAUAGGGUGCUUAUGCGCCCAUGACAGGUGGUGCAUGGCUGUCGUCAGCUCGUGUCGUGAGAUGUUGGGUUAAGUCCCGCAACGAGCGCAACCCCUGUCCUAUGUUGCCAGCACGUAAUGGUGGGGACUCAUGGGAGACUGCCGGGGAUAACUCGGAGGAAGGCGGGGAUGACGUCAAGUCAUCAUGCCCCUUAUGUCCAGGGCUGCACGCAUGCUACAAUGGGUGAUACAACGGGCUGCCAACCUGCAAAGGUGAGCGAAUCCCUUAAAGUCAUCCCUAGUUCGGAUUGGAGUCUGCAACUCGACUCCAUGAAGCCGGAGUCGCUAGUAAUCGUGGAUCAGCAAAGCCGCGGUGAAUACGUUCUCGGGGCUUGUACACACCGCCCGUCACAUCACGGAAGUCGGUAACGCCCGAAGUCAGUGGCCCAACCCUUUUUGGGAGGGAGCUGCCGA